rnacentral:rRNA from 1 species
AUUGAACGCCGGCGGCAUGCCUUACACAUGCAAGUCGAACGGCAGCACGGGGGCAACCCUGGUGGCGAGUGGCGAACGGGUGAGUAACACAUCGGAACGUGUCCAGUUGUGGGGGAUAACCCAUCGAAAGGUGGGCUAAUACCGCAUGAGCUGGCAACAGGAAAGCGGGGGACCCGCAAGGGCCUUGUGCGAUUGGAGCGGCCGAUGUCCGAUUAGCUAGUUGGUGGGGUAAAGGCCACCAAGGCUUCGAUCGGUAGCUGGUCUGAGAGGAUGAUCAGCCACACUGGGACUGAGACACGGCCCAGACUCCUACGGGAGGCAGCAGUGGGGAAUUUUGGACAAUGGGGGCAACCCUGAUCCAGCCAUGCCGCGUGAGUGAAGAAGGCC